rnacentral:lncRNA from 1 species
UUUCCAUUUCACGUCCAGAUUGUUUACUUAUCUGCGGGAAACAUAUGUCGGGAGAAGUUCACAUUCCGGAUUCUGCUCCGCUGCCCAAGGUGCAAUUCCGGGGAGGCGGCGAGGGGGGAGGGGAGGGCUUCAGAUUUUUUAUUACACCCUCUAGCCUUAUCUGCCGCUGUAAAUUAUGAGGAUCCUCCAUUGAGCGGCAUAUGGAGAUUAUAUACUUUUUUGAAUAUCGUUUCCCAAAGCCUGCAGAUUUUCACUUUGAAAUGAAACAAUCCUCCGCUGGUUCCCCCGGGGACAGGCGUCUCCUGCGUUCCCCCGCGCGGCCUGGGGGACCCUUCUCGCAGAGCAGGCGCGCACCCCAAUGCCGUGGCCGGCGCCCAGUGGAGACUUCUUUCACAGGGUCUAGAAUAAUCUUCCGCGGAACACCCAUCCAUAUGCAGUGUUUGAGAACUAAGGCAGCUCCCUUGCUCUGUUUUCCUGCGCCUAGCCCCCGGACUUUUGUGCCGUUUGCAGCUCUUUUUCAUUUCGAAUACCCGCAUAGACGCGAGCCCACUUCUGCCCUCUUCCUACGCUGGGCGGCUCCAAACCCGCCGCGAGGGCUGAGGUGUUCACACCUGCCCACGGCAGCCUGCCUCGCCCUCAAGCGCCUCAAAGCUUCCUAAGCGCUUACAUUGGUCUUGGGACAGCCGACUUUGGCUUCUUUGUUUGUUUGAGGGACCGCGGAAGUGGCGGGGAAUGUGCCCCCGCUUGAGACCGCUUAUUGUGAGCCCUCAACGGAAAUCCUGCACGGAAGGCAACCGCCUCCCCGCUCGCGUUAGAAGGCUUCAUUUGCUCUGAGUUAUCAUUGAGAACUAAAUGGAGAAGAAAAGAACUGAAGGCCUGAAGAUAUGUCAUCUGUAGAAAAGCCCCAUCCUUCUGCAGGUGGCCUCUUCUCAAGCUUUCUUGGCAAAUCAAGAGCUUCUGCCUUUUGGAGGACAUCCUCUUGACCUCCCACCCAUAUCAGCUCUUAGAGGACAUUCCACAGGAACAUUGCCUUCUUGUCCUCCAGUAUUUUUUAUGGAAACAGAAAUUAGGUUAUCUUCCUUAUGCUCUAGAUGGACAUCUGAAAUCAUCAAACCCUUGAGAGAAACAGCCCUCAUUCUUUUAUGAGACAACCUGGAAGAAAAC